GGUCCCGUAGUUCAGCUGAAUAGAACGUCAGAUUCCGGUUCUGAAGGCCGGGGGUUUGAAUCCCUCCGGGAUCA
rnacentral:tRNA from 1 species